GACAGGGGAUGCAAGCGUUAUCCGGAAUGAUUGGGCGUAAAGCGUCUGUAGGUGGCUUUCAAGUCCGCCGUCAAAUCCCAGGGCUCAACCCUGGACAGGCGGUGGAAACUACCAAGCUGGAGUACGGUAGGGGCAGAGGGAAUUUCCGGUGGAGCGGUGAAAUGCAUUGAGAUCGGAAGAACGCCAACGGCGAAGCACUCUGCG
rnacentral:rRNA from 1 species